rnacentral:rRNA from 1 species
UACGUAGGUGGCGAGCGUUAUUCGGAUUUACUGGGCGUAAAGGGUCCGUAGGGGGAUUUUUAAGUCAGAUGUGAAAUUUCAAGGCUCAACCUUGAACCUGCAUUUGAAACUGAAGAUCUAGAGUUCGGUAGAGGUAAGUGGAAUUUGUGGUGUAGCGGUGGAAUGCGUAGAUAUCACAAGGAACAUCGAAGGCGAAAGCA